CGGGAGGCAGAGCAACAGGGAUUGCCCCAGUAACGGCGAGUGAAGCGGCAACAGCUUCAAAUUUGAAAUUCUGGCCCCCCCGGGCCCGAGUUGUAAUUUGCAGAGGAUGCUUUUGGCGAGGCGCCGCCCGAGUUCCCUGGAACGGGACGCCACAGAGGGUGAGAGCCCCGUCUGGCUGGCCGCCGAGCCUCUGUAAAGCUCCUUCGACGAGUCGAGUAGUUUGGGAAUGCUGCUCAAAAUGGGAGGUAUAUGUCUUCUAAAGCUAAAUACUGGCCAGAGACCGAUAGCGCACAAGUAGAGUGAUCGAAAGAUGAAAAGCACCUUGAAAAGAGGGUUAAACAGUACGUGAAAUUGUUGAAAGGGAAGCGCUUGUGACCAGACUUGGGCGCGGAGGAUCAUCCGGGGUUCUCCCCGGUGCACUUCGCCGCGCCCAGGCCAGCAUCAGCUCGCCGCGGGGGAAAAAGGCUCCGGGAACGUGGCUCCCUCGGGAGUGUUAUAGCCCGGUGCACAAUACCCUGGGGCGGGCUGAGGACCGCGCAUCUCGCAAGGAUGCUGGCGUAAUGGUCACCAGCGACCCGUCUUGAAACACGGACCAAGGAGUCGUCUUCGUAUGCGAGUGUUCGGGUGUCAAACCCCUACGCGUAAUGAAAGUGAACGCAGGUGAGAGCUUCGGCGCAUCAUCGACCGAUCCUGAUGUUCUCGGACGGAUUUGAGUAAGAGCAUACGGGGCCGGACCCGAAAGAAGGUGAACUAUGCCUGUGUAGGGUGAAGCCAGAGGAAACUCUGGUGGAGGCUCGCAGCGGUUCUGACGUGCAAAUCGAUCGUCAAACAUGGGCAUGGGGGCGAAAGACUAAUCGAACCUUCUAGUAGCUGGUUUCCGCCGAGCCUCCCCCCCUCGGGUGCUAGACCCCCGAAAAA
rnacentral:rRNA from 1 species